rnacentral:rRNA from 1 species
UGGUUCUCCCCGAAAGCUAUUUAGGUAGCGCCUCGUGAAUUCAUCUCCGGGGGUAGAGCACUGUUUCGGCUAGGGGGCCAUCCCGGCUUACCAACCCGAUGCAAACUGCGAAUACCGGAGAAUGUUAUCACGGGAGACACACGGCGGGUGCUAACGUCCGUCGUGAAGAGGGAAACAACCCAGACCGCCAGCUAAGGUCCCAAAGUCAUGGUUAAGUGGGAAACGAUGUGGGAAGGCCCAGACAGCCAGGAUGUUGGCUUAGAAGCAGCCAUCAUUUAAAGAAAGCGUAAUAGCUCACUGGUCGAGUCGGCCUGCGCGGAAGAUGUAACGGGGCUAAACCAUGCACCGAAGCUGCGGCAGCGAACGUAUCACCCAAGACAACUUUACGGAGUUGACGAUUGACGGAGCGAAGCGACGUCAAAGCGUUCAUUAAAGUCGAGUUGGCUUAGGGAUACGUUCGUUGGGUAGGGGAGCGUUCUGUAAGCCUGUGAAGGUGUGUCGUGAGGCAUGCUGGAGGUAUCAGAAGUGCGAAUGCUGACAUAAGUAACGAUAAAGCGGGUGAAAAGCCCGCUCGCCGGAAGACCAAGGGUUCCUGUCCAACGUUAAUCGGGGCAGGGUGAGUCGACCCCUAAGGCGAGGCCGAAAGGCGUAGUCGAUGGGAAACGGGUUAAUAUUCCCGUACUUGGUGUUACUGCGAAGGGGGGACGGAGAAGGCUAUGUUGGCCGGGCGACGGUUGUCCCGGUUUAAGCGUGUAGGUGUGUGUUCCAGGUAAAUCCGGUUCACUU